UACAUGGGGUGCAAACGUUGCUCGGAAUCAUUGGGCGUAAAGAGCGUGUAGGCGGCCAGGUAGGUCUGCUGUGAAAACUCGAGGCUUAACCUCGAGCUGUCGGCGGAAACCAUCUGGCUAGAGUCCGGAAGAGGAGAAUGGAAUUCCCGGUGUAGCGGUGAAAUGCGCAGAUAUCGGGAAGAACACCCGUGGCGAAGGCGGUUCUCUGGGACGGUACUGACGCUGAGACGCGAAAGCGUGGGGAGCGAACAGG
rnacentral:rRNA from 1 species